UACGGAGGGUGCAAGCGUUAUCCGGAUUUACUGGGUUUAAAGGGUGCGCAGGCGGAUAUGUAAGUCAGUGGUGAAAUCUCCAGGCUUAACCUGGAAAUUGCCGUUGAUACUAUAUAUCUUGAAUGCUGUGGAGGUAAGCGGAAUAUGUCAUGUAGCGGUGAAAUGCUUAGAGAUGACAUAGAACACCUAUUGCGAAGGCAGCUUACUACGCAGAUAUUGACGCUCAUGCACGAAAGCGUGGGGAGCGAACAGG
rnacentral:rRNA from 1 species